UUGAUCCUAGAGUUUCAUUAACUUCUCUUUUGCUUUAACUUAACCAAAUUCUCAAAUUUCAUACUUAGUUGCUAAUUAGCCUGGAUACUUCCAACUUGUAUAUAUCCCUCUUAUACAAGUACCCUCAUGAUCAUCUUACCCCGUGUAGGUUGCAUGUAUUUCGAGGCUAAUUAUUUUACCACUAUAAGGUUUGUUCUUUGCCCGAAUUAGUUAGGAAAUUUACAAGCAUAAUGAGCCCUAACGUGUAAUGAGAUGUAUCAUUUGUUUGUAAGCCACAUUUCUAAAUCACGCCUUCCUUGUUUCUGUUUGCGCUUAUACUCUUUUGUUUUCUUCAUGUGCAUCUACAUAUUUUAUCAAAUAAUAAGAGCAUCGAAUAAUUUGAAUUGCAUUUUUUUUUUAUUCUUCCUCAGGUUUCGAGCAAUAAGUAAGCAUAUCGAAGUAGUAAAUUCCCUCAGG
rnacentral:lncRNA from 1 species